rnacentral:rRNA from 1 species
GUAACGGCGAGUGAAGCGGCAAUAGCUCGGUUCUCAGGUGNCGCUCGCGUCGGAGUUGACGUUGUAUAGGACGAUUUUUCUGCGGAUGCUGGCGAGUUACUUGGAACAGGACGCCUUNNUGGUUACCGNNCCGUUUCCCUGGAGAACGAGCCUCUGUAAAUCUCCUUCGACGAGUCGAGUAGUUUGGGAAUGCUGCUCUAAAUGGGAGGUAAAUUUCUUCUAAAGCUAAAUACCGGCCAGAGACCGAUAGCGCACAAGUAGAGUGAUCGAAAGAUGAAAAGCACUUUGAAAAGAGGGUUAAAUAGCACGUGAAAUUGUUGAAAGGGAAGGAUUUAUGACCAGACUUUUUCUAGGAGAAUCAUCCGGUGUUCUCACCGGUGCACUUCUUUUAGUUUAGGCCAGCAUCGACUUUCGGCGGUGGAUAAAAGCUUUAGGAAUGUGGCUUCUCUCGGGAAGUGUUAUAGCCUAUUGUAUAAUACACUGCUGGGGGUCGAGGUACGCGCUUCUGCAAGGAUGCUGGCGUAAUGGUUAUCAAUCACCCGUCUUGAAACACGGACCAAGGAGUCGAACAUUUGUGCGAGUGUUUGGGUGUUAAACCCUCACGCGUAAUGAAAGUGAACGGAGGUGAGAGCCCUUACGGGUGCAUCAUCGACCGAUCCUGAUGUUUUCGGAUGGAUUUGAGUAAGAGCAUAAAUGUUCGGACCCGAAAGAUGGUGAACUAUGCGUGGAUAGGGUGAAGCCAGAGGAAACUCUGGUGGAGGCUCGCAGCGGUUCUGACGUGCAAAUCGAUCGUCAAAUCUGCGCAUGGGGGCGAAAGACUAAUCGAACCAUCUAGUAGCUGGUUACCGCCGAAGUUU